CGCCUUCGCCACCGCCUCCGCCUCUGCUGCCACGCACCUGGUGGGUCUCCGAGGGGCGGGCAGAUCCGAGUCCAGAGCUGCCAUGAUUGAAGUGGUAGCAGAGCUGAGCCGGGGUCCUGUGUUUCUGGCAGGGGAGGCGCUGGAGUGUGUGGUGACUGUUACCAACCCCCUGCCCCCUACAGCGACUUCUGCAUCCAGUGAGGCUCUGGCCUGGGCCAGUGCCCAAAUCCACUGCCAGUUCCAUGCCAGUGAAAGUCGAGUAGCACUGCCUCCCCCUGACUCCAGUCAGCCAGAUGUCCAGCCUGAGAGCCAGACUGUCUUUCUACCACACCGAGGUGAGAGGGGUCAGUGUAUCCUUUCCACUCCACCAAAAAUCCUAUUUUGUGACCUGAGGCUAGACCCUGGAGAGUCCAAAUCAUACUCCUACAGUGAAGUACUGCCCAUUGAGGGACCACCCUCCUUUCGGGGUCAGUCAGUCAAGUAUGUCUACAAACUGACCAUUGGCUGCCAGCGUGUCAACUCACCCAUCACUUUACUCAGGGUCCCUCUGAGGGUUCUUGUGCUGACUGGCCUUCAAGAUACCCGGUUUCCUCAGGAUGAGGCUAUAGCUCCAUCCAGUCCAUUCUUGGAGGAGGAUGAAGGUGGGAAGAAGGAUUCCUGGCUAGCUGAGCUGGCUGGGGAGCGCCUCAUGGCUGCCACAUCCUGCCGCAGCCUCCGUGAGAAUCCUUUCAGAAUUGUCCCCCUCCCAUCCCCCACCAAAGCAUUCCUGCCUUAUACAGAUUCUCCCAAGUGCCACAUACUUCCGAGGAUUCACUAUCUUACCUCAGAUUAUAAAGAGAAGUCUCACCUUUGGCCCCUCUCAGUCCUAGACAUUCUGCAGUGUGGACUCCAGGCUUACAGUGUUCCAUUUUCCCCAGAUCUAUACAAUAUCAGUGACGGCCGAGGAAAAGUUGGGACAUUUGGCAUCUUCAAAUCUGUAUACAGACUCGGCGAGGAUGUGGUGGGGACUUUAAACUUAGGGGAAGGAACUGUAGCUUGUUUGCAGUUCUCGGUAAGCUUACAGACCGAGGAGCAUGUGCAGCCUGAGUACCAGCGGCGUCGAGGGGCAGGGGGUGCCCCCUCUGUGUCCCAUGUGACUCAUGCCCGGCACCAGGAGUCCUGCCUACAUACCACCAGAACCAGCUUCUCUCUCCCCAUCCCUCUCAGUUCCACCCCAGGCUUCUGCACAGCCAUUGUAUCCCUGAAAUGGCGAUUACAUUUUGAAUUUGUAACAUCCCGAGAACCAGGUUUGGUGCUCCUACCUCCAUUGGAACAGCCUGAGCCUGUCACCUGGACAGGGCCUGAGCAAGUGCCCGUAGACACCUUCAGCUGGGACCUUCCCAUCAAGGUGCUGCCUACAAGCCCUACCCUGGUCUCAUAUGCAGCCCCAGGCCCCAGCACCAGCACCAUAACCAUCUGAAACUGGCCCACCAUGGCACUACUUUCUUCUGGAUACUGAGAACUCAGCACCUGGACUCUAGUAGGGCCUACUUUUUCCAUCUAGGGUCCAACGGCACAGACAAUGAGAGGCAGGCUUUCAGCUGUAGCAUUAAUUUAUUCAGAAUAAAUUGGCAGCUGCUAGUGGUUUCCCUGGAAGUGGCAGCAGCAGUGGGCAGUCAGCAGAAGGGUGAUCAGUUGAGUUUAGCUGGAGUGGGGAGCAGGAGCCCCAGAAACAGGAAUGUUAGCUGAGCCCCACUCUGGGUCGGGCCCUCCCCCUUUGCAGGGCAGCCGAGGGUCAGAUUUUUGCACCAGGGAGAACUGGCAGGUUCCUGCCUCCUGACGUACCUCACACCCAGCAGGGAAGUCGAUGGGAUGCUGGGACCUGGGGAACCAAAGGAUGGGGAAGGAGUCAGCACAGUGAAAGGCCACCUUUUUCCCUGCCCCACAUUCCCUCUCCCAGCAUUCCUCCCAUAUCUUCCCUCAGUACCCCUUGGUCCUCCUGUCUAAGCUCUCACCUACCAUAUAUGGAUUUUUUCGUUUCAUAGCAGGAAUGUUUUCCCUCCAGAUCUACCCAUAACCUCCCUCACUUUGUAGCCUGAAGACUUCUCUCUCACACUCUUUUUGGUACCUUCAGGUUCGGCCAGCCUCAUACUGUUAUUUCUGUUCAUUCUCACGUCAGAGCAAUCUAGUCACUCCCUGGCCAUCCCUCAGUCACUCAGGUCAGAGCCAUUCUCUGGCUGUCCUUGGUCACUCACGUGUCACAGCAGCCCACGCCGACGGGAUGCAGACAGGUGCAGUGGAAGCAGUCCUUGCGGAGCCAAGACUCACCCAGGGUGAAAUAUUUCCCCUCAUAGUGGCAGGGGGCUGGGGAGGAAGAGAAAAUGUUAGUGUGUGGGGAGUGGUGGUGGCUGACAGAACCACUCUGGUCUGGAGUGGGGGAGAGUAAGUGUACACUAGCCCUGUAUUUAGUUAACCUCCUGUUUCCAAGCUAGAGGGAGUCUGGGUAUUCUGACAUAGGAUCGUCUCUGAGCCCCCCUCCCAACUCCCUCUGUCCUCAUCCUUUCCUAAGACCUCACCCAGCUUUACCUUGAGCUUGGAAGUAGCACUUGCUGUGGACUCCUGGGUGCUGGAGGAGCAGAGAUACCACCAAGCAGAUGAUCCCCCAGCCUCCCAGGAUCCCCUUAGCCUGUCCAGCCCAGGGCAUCCUUAGGGCCAUUCCUACAGCACAGUCCUCAGACCCUUCUUGGCUUCUGUUCAGGCUACUCAGGUCUUGUCUCUUUGGCUUUUCUUUGUUUCUCUCCUUGAGUUUUAGUUUCUGUCUUUCUCCUCUGGGCUCCUGUCUCAUACCAUCUCCGUGCCCUCUGCUCUCACAGGCUUGGGGAUGUUUAUAAAGUGAGGACCCUGGCCCCCUGCUGAGUAGAGCUGGAAAAGCUGUAACUCUGUUUCCUGAGGUGAGGGCAUGAAAACAAGAGGUCUAGCUUUAACAAGCUGUGAGAGCUGAUUCAUGCCCCGGCGCAGUUAGGGGGAGGGAGGUGGCCAUGGAAGGGGCACUGGACUGGGCAUUUCCCCAGCAAGGAGGUGGGAGGGGUGAGGGCCGCUAGAUGGUCCCCAGAUCUCUUCCCUGACCUGGAGGGAAGGUAGCAUUCCACCAUCUCCCCCCACAAUGCAUACACACACACACUCCAGGGAUGUGUAUGCUGGGAUCCCUGCCUGGACCGGAGGGAGGCAUUUCCUGGGGGUGGCUAAUCUUGUGCCUCAGCCAAACCAAGGAGCUGCAGCAGGGUGCGAUGGCCAGAGGCUCCAGGAGAGCAAACUGGCACCUGGAUUGGAGAAUGUUUCUCUCAGACCCGAGGGCAGAGUCUCCCUGAAGUCUCCUAGAGACAUGGCUGCCCCUCUAGAGAUGAGGUGGGUGUCUCUUUUCCUCAGGUAUCACAGAGAUGAACUGUUCACUGUUCAAUACCCCUAAACAUAGCAGAUACAGGAUCUCCCCAGAUCUAGGAAUGGUUCUUUCAAAGAGGGGCAUCUCCUCUAAAUGCCCUAAUGGUAAGAGUCCCUCCAGUUUCACGGAGGUGCCCUCUUUCCUUCUGUACGUUAUGGAAUGAGGUUUUAGGAAUGUAUCCUCUGACAUCCUCUUUCGGGUUUCCUACAAGUUCUGGAGAACCGCAACAUGGGUGAUUAAGAGCAUAGGCUGUAGAGUCAGACUACUUGGAUUCAGAUUCUGACUCCACUCACUAGCUAUGUGACCUUAGGCAAGUUACUUCACCUCUCUAAGCCUGUUUCCUUAUUUAUAAAUUGGGAUAGUAAUACUAACUCAUAGGGGUGUUAUGAGGAUUAAGUGAGAUAACGCAUGUAAUGCUCUUAGCACUGUCCCUGCCACAUAGCCCUCAGAAAAAUAUUAACUAUUGCGAUUGGUGUUAGAGUUCAGAGACAAAAUGGGUAGACAUUCCCUUCUUUGAAUGACACUGUGCACAGCUGAGGGCUUCUUUUGGGCCUGCUAUCUCCUGUCAUAGUCUCCUGCCCCUUUCACACUCAUGCUCCCUGUCAUACCUGCAGGAGCAUUUUCGUUUUAGUCCUUGUAUCCUUGAAAUUCUAAAUGUCUGGUUUGAGAAACUGUGUUGCUGAUAAACCUACUUGCCCCAGGUCAGUGCCCUUACUUCUGCCCUGGGAAGAGGUAUCAUUUUCUCAUCAUCAUUCUAGCUAAGUUUUGGGCUCCUGUUUUUCUCGUUAGGAUUCUGAUCCGCUCUUCCCAUCCCACUCAUGUGAACUCGCAAGUUCUUGCUGACCACUCUCAGGCUGGCCAUCUCUUUGGUACUAAAGUUCCCUGGCCAAACUGGAUUUCUUUUUCUUUUCUACACUUCAAAGACUCUUGUUCCAGCUAGUCCUCUCCUACUCAUAGGGCCAAUCACUUUGGCAUUUAUUCUGUUUUUCCUUCUAAGUCUCCCGUCCCAAUCACUCCAAGACUCCCAAUCCCUGUCACCCAGUGGAUCAGAUAUAACUACUUCUGGCUGACUUUUUUAGAGGGUCACCCUGCCUCUCACCUCUUCACCAUUCAGAAGCAACCUCAUCAGUCCACCGCAAACUCCUAUCCUCUUCCAAGAAGAUGGCUUAAGUGAAUGGGGGUGCAGACUGUACCACAUGUUCACCCCAGUCAGGUUUGAUACUUUUCGGUUCCAGAGGAGUUGCCAAGAGGAAGAAGAGAACUCUGGGUUGAAGCAGCCUGUCCUGAUGGAGGCUGGCAUGUGGGAGGCAGGGCCUGGGCUACUCUCUUGGCUAGAGCAGGUGGAUUAGAAGGCCUGUCUAGGACAAGCAGCCCAAAGUCUUGUCAGUCGUCAGUAGCUUUGCUGCUGUCUUUCUGGAGGAGGGGCACCAGCUGUCACCCAGGAAGUCUGGGCUAUAGACGACCUUCUGCUCCUGCAGCUGUAGCCAACCCAGUAGGGGCGGACGGAGUGGGGAGCUCGAGAUCGUGCCGACGGCGGCACCGAUGGUGGUGGUGAUGCUGGAAGGCAACGGGGCCCCGUGUGGAUUGAUGUGUGUGAGGCAAUGGGGACAGGAAAAGUGCGAGUUAGCUGCCUGCAGUGAAGAUGAGGUAGGCAUAUAGGGGCAGGGGUAGGGGGCUUCUGGAAAGAAAGGGUGGGGCUGAGCCAGGAUCCCUCUCCCAGAAGUUGGGGGGGCGGUGGGGAGAUGUUGGUUAAACCCACUUGCCUGGCUGCUGGUGUGUAUCUGUGUGGCUUGCGGCUGCGUGCGUGCGUGUGUAGCAGUCUCAGUGGUUAGGGCCUGACUCUGUGAUGGCUGGGGCAGCGCCGUAGGGGCUGCCAGUGGCGGGGGACGCGGCGGUUGGCAGGCGCUGCCCGCGGGCACAGGGAAAACAUCCGCCGGAGGCCCGGCCGGGCGGCGCUCCAGCGCCGGGGCAGGUGCGCGGUGAGGAAGUGAGCGCAUUCCGGCCUCCGCCCGCCGCCCUCCGGUCACUUUGGCAUCUGAACACACUGUGGAGGAUGGAUUGCAGGGAGGUGAGACUGGAGGCCCAGAGACUUGUCACAAGGCUGUUGAAACAGUCCAAAGGAAAAACUGUUGGUCAAGCAGAAAAAAGACUGGAAGGUGUGUUCUUUUGCUGGAAUCCUGUAGGCCUGGAGGCAUGGUCUGGUAUAGAGCAAACCCGAGGGUCCAGAGUUGGCUGUGAAAUCAGGAUGAAAUUCCUUUUCACUAACAGCGUUGGGAGGUGGAACUGGAGUUACCAUCCCGUGUUAAAGUAGGAGCUGCCUGCCCUAAGACUUCCAUUUCUACUGGACUUGGGGCAAGAGACAUUGUUGGGGGGCUUUGGCCUGUGUGCCCCAGGGAUUCCAACUGUAUGCUCCUCAAGGUGAGGGCUGUGUCAUUCAGAUUUUUUGGUUUUCACCCUACAGCUUGUGCAAGGCAGCCAGUGUUCAAUAAAGAAAUAUUGUACCUAAGAAUAAAAUGGCAGGGCCAGCCCGGUGGUGCAAGCAGUUAAGUGCAUGUGCUCUGCU